GGGUUGUGAGGUUAAGCGAAUAAGCGUACACGGUGGAUGCCUAGGCAAUCAGAGGCGAUGAAGGACGUGCUAAUCUGCGAAAAGCGUCGGUAAGGUGAUAUGAACCGUUAUACCCGACGAUAUCCGAAUGGGGAAACCCAGUAUCCAAUGGAUACUAUCAUUAACUGAAUCCAUAGGUUAAUGAGGCGAACCGGGAGAACUGAAACAUCUCAGUACCCCGAGGAAAAGAAAUCAACCGAGAUUCCCCUAGUAGCGGCGAGCGAACGGGGAGCAGCCCAGAGUCUUAAUCAAUAGCAGUGUCAGGAGAACGGUCUGGAAAGUCCGGCAGUAAAGGGUGAUAGCCCCGUAUCUGAAGAUGCUGUUAUUGUGAACUCGACGAGUAGGGCGGGACACGUGUUAUCCUGUCUGAAUAUGGGGGGACCAUCCUCCAAGGCUAAAUACUCCUGAUUGACCGAUAGUGAACCAGUACCGUGAGGGAAAGGCGAAAAGAACCCCGGCGAGGGGAGUGAAAAAGAACCUGAAACCGUGUACGUACAAGCAGUAGGAGCCUCUUUAUGGGGUGACUGCGUACCUUUUGUAUAAUGGGUCAGCGACUUAUAUUCUGUAGCAAGGUUAACCGUAUAGGGGAGCCGUAGGGAAACCGAGUCUUAACUGGGCGAAUGAGUUGCAGGGUAUAGACCCGAAACCCGGUGAUCUAUCCAUGGGCAGGUUGAAGGUUGGGUAACACUAACUGGAGGACCGAACCGACUAAUGUUGAAAAAUUAGCGGAUGACUUGUGGAUGGGGGUGAAAGGCCAAUCAAACCGGGAGAUAGCUGGUUCUCCCCGAAAGCUAUUUAGGUAGCGCCUCGUGAAUUCAUCUUCGGGGGUAGAGCACUGUUUCGACUAGGGGGUCAUCCCGACUUACCAACUCGAUGCAAACUGCGAAUACCG
rnacentral:rRNA from 1 species